CCUACGGGAGGCUGCAGUGGGGAAUAUUGGACAAUGGGCGAAAGCCUGAUCCAGCAAUGCCGCGUGAGUGAUGAAGGCCCUAGGGUUGUAAAGCUCUUUUACCCGGGAUGAUAAUGACAGUACCGGGAGAAUAAGCUCCGGCUAACUUCGUGCCAGCAGCCGCGGUAAUACGAGGGGAGCUAGCGUUAUUCGGAAUUACUGGGCGUAAAGCGCACGUAGGCGGCUUUGUAAGUUAGAGGUGAAAGCCCAGAGCUCAACUCUGGAAUUGCCUUUAAGACUGCAUCGCUUGAAUCCAGGAGAGGUGAGUGGAAUUCCGAGUGUAGAGGUGAAAUUCGUAGAUAUUCGGAAGAACACCAGUGGCGAAGGCGGCUCACUGGACUGGUAUUGACGCUGAGGUGCGAAAGCGUGGGGAGCAAACAGGAUUAGAUACCCUUGUAGUC
rnacentral:rRNA from 1 species